rnacentral:rRNA from 1 species
CGAUAUCGACGUAGUUUGAUCCUGGCUCAAGAACGACGCUGGCGGCAGGCUUAACACAUGCAAGUCGAACGCGUCCUUCGGGACGAGUGGCAGACGGGUGAGUAACGCGUGGGAACGUACCCUUUGGUUCGGAACAACGCCGGGAAACUGGCGCUAAUACCGGAUAAGCCCUUCGGGGGAAAGAUUUAUCGCCAGAGGAUCGGCCCGCGUUAGAUUAGCUAGUUGGUGAGGUAAUGGCUCACCAAGGCUACGAUCUAUAGCUGGUCUGAGAGGAUGAUCAGCCACACUGGGACUGAGACACGGCCCAGACUCUUACGGGAGGCAGCAGUGGGGAAUCUUGGACAAUGGGCGAAAGCCUGAUCCAGCCAUGCCGCGUGAAUGAUGAAGGCCCUAGGGUUGUAAAAUUCUUUCGACGGGGAAGAUAAUGACGGUACCCGUAGAAGAAGCUCCGGCUAACUUCGUG